GGGGCGGGGGGGGGGGUCAGUUCCCCUGCCCUUGAAGCCAGGCUCUCCUGUUGCUUGCUCCAGAGAACACAGCAGAAGUGAAGGUGAUACUGAGCCAGACCCCUAAGGCGGUGGGUUCCCUCUUUAAGUCACCCCCGGUAACUCGGAAAUCAGAGCUCCCCCCUUUGUGGGGGACAGCACCUUGGUACCACUUCUAAUGGAGAGAGGGUGCGGCGUGGGUAGGAAGUAAUGCAGAAAGUUUUCAGGUCUCCCGUUCAGAACUGGGGAAAGGGAAACACAGUGGCUCGCUGUUCCUCCUUCUUCAUUGGAAAGGAAGCUCUAGCAAGCUGGAAGACCAAGUGGGAACAGGGACCUCCUCCAUCACAGUCCAAAGGAGCGCCUGGAUCAUGCUUGUCUGGACGUUGAAGCCCUCUGGAGCACUAGGAGAGCCAUGGUGAGCCAGCAGGAGGGGACUGCGCAAGUUGCUGAAAGAGAUUUGUUAAAACCUCGACCAUGGUUACAAAUUUGCCCACUUGUCUCUUUUGUUCUGUCAACUUUCUGCUUCAUGCAGCCCUGUUAUUAGAUGUCCCCGAUUCGAUCGGUGGAAGCCACUUCAAGACAGCUUCUGUAUCCUUCUGACAUGUCCCCAUUAUUCUUUGAGUGCUUCCGUGCAUUCUGGCCCAGGAUGCUCCAGACUCGCCUUGUACUUUCCCUGCCCAGUCCUGGAAUCAGCCAUUCUCUGGGGAUCCCUGCCUUCUUUCUUUGAAACCGUUGUUUAGAAAACAAAAUCUAGGUCUUGCUAAUGACGUGUAUCCACUCCUGGCUCUGUGUGAACACAGCUUGAGAAUAUGUAUGCAUAUGUAUACAUACAUAUAGUAUCUAUUAUAUAUCUGUUAUAUAUGCAUAUAUUAUUAUAACGUAUUAAUAUAUGUGUAUAUAUAGAUGAAUCCACUCAGAUAUAUUCUUUUCCAAAUAAACAUCACAGGGUUCAUUCCAGUUUUCUCCUUUUCUAUAUUUAUAACUCCCUCUCUCACUAAACCCAAACCUCCUCCCCCCUCCUCACCCUGCUCAGGAUCUGACACCCCACAUCUGGCUUCCCUCCCAUGGGAAUGCUCUUCGCAUCCUGUCUGGGCUCUGACAUCCUGCCAUGGGCCACCAUGGCUUCCUCCACUCUCCACACCGUGCACACAAACGCAUCCACGCCACGCCUCACUCUGCCCCACCUGAUGGCUUUAAAUUGUUCAGAAAUGGAAGAGAAGAAAAGGGAAAGGAAAGAGGACCAUGAAUUGCCUUUAUUUGUGAAAAAAAAAUUCACAGGAUAUAGAACUUUUUUUUGUACAGUUAAAAAUGCCUUUCCAUUGUCGUCUAGAUUUCAUAGUUGCGAUCAACAUGUCAGCCAUAACUCAUUGUUGCUCCUUGGAAUAUGAUGUGUUUUAAUUUUUCUUGGCUGCUUUUAACAUUUUCUCAUUGUCUUUGGUUUGCACCUCUGUGUAGUUUUCUUUGUUUUUCUUUAACUUGGGAUUCACUGAGCUUUGUGCAUCUAUGAGUUGAUGUCUUUCUCUGAUUCUGACAACUCUUUCCCUUUAUCUCUUCAAAUAUGCUUUUCUUAUUCUCUCUCCCUCCCUUUUUCUGAGAAUCCAAUUAGAUGCAUGAUAGAUAUUAUGACUGUGUCCCAAUGUGUGUCUUAUACUCUGAUCUAUUAUCUUCAUUAUUUUCUCUGUCUGUACUUCAGUUUGAGUACAUCUAUACACAUGUCUUUGAGCUCACUAAUCCUGUCAUCUGCAGCUAACUCCAUUCAAUGAAUCCUUAAUUUCAAAUACUAAGGUUUUUUAGUUCUUGAAUGCCUACUUGAAUUUUUAUAGAUUCCAAUUCUCUGCAUCAGUCCUGCAUCAUUCAAAUGCCCAUCUUUUUCUCUAAAUAUUCUCUUUAUAUUCUAUUUAUCAUAGUUAUUUUUACAUUCUUGUCUCAUAACUCCAAGAGAAAAAUUAUCUUAGUUGUGAUGGUGGAAUGAAUACCUCCAACCAAAAUUUGGUUCAAAUGUCAAGACUGAUGACAUAAAGCACAUACCAAGAAGAUAUGAGAUUUAUUAUACACAUAUGAGGAUUUCUAGAGACAGCCUGGAAACUUCCCAAGCAGGUCUGAAAAUGGCUUAAGAGAGCAGAAAAAGGAGACUGGCUGGGAAAUCAUUGGAGAGUGGGACUAGGGAUAAGUGUUCCCAUGCAUGGACCAAGGCUUGCAUGGUUUGAACUUCAUGCUGAGAUGAAUGGAUGGGGCACUUAGGGUUUCUUAUGAGCUGGCCCAAGUCUAAAGUAAGGAAAGAGGGAGUGGUGGGGCUUAAAAGCUGUCAGCAUUCAGGGACACCUGGGUGGCUCAGUGGUUAAGCAUUCUAUCUCUUGAUUUUAGCUCGGAUCAUGAUCUCACUCUUCAUGAGAGGAGCCCCAUGUCGGGCUCUGUACUGGCAGUGCAGAGCCUGCUUGGGAUUCUCUUUCUCUCUCUCUCUGCCUCUCCCCUGCUCAUGCUCUCUCUCUCUCUCUCUAAAAAUAAAUAUAUAAACUUUUUUUAAAAAGCUGUCAGCAUUCAAAAGUUAAAAAAG